GGAUAGUUCAAUCAGAAGAGCAUGUGACUCUUAAUCUCAGGGUUGUGGGUUCAAGCCCACGUUGGGCA